rnacentral:rRNA from 1 species
CUACGGCCAUACCACCCUGAACGCGUCCGAUCUCGUCUGAUCUCGGAAGCUAAGCAGGGUCGGGCCUGGUUAGUACUUGAAUGGGAGAAAUCCUGCAGUUUAAUGGA